UACGUAGGAGACGAGCGUUGUCCGGAAUCACUGGGCGUAAAGCGCGUGUAGGCGGGUCGGCAAGUCUGCUGUGAAAGCUCCUGGCUUAACCGGGAGUGGUCGGUGGAAACUGCCAAUCUGGAGGACGGUAGAGGUAGGUAGAAUUCCCGGUGUAGUGGUGAAAUUCGUAGAUAUCGAGAGGAACACCGGUGGCGAAGGCGGCCAACUGGACGAAUACUGACGCUGAGACUCGAAAGCGUGGGGAGCAAACAGG
rnacentral:rRNA from 1 species